rnacentral:rRNA from 1 species
AUUGAACGCUGGCGGCAUGCUUUACACAUGCAAGUCGAACGGUAACAGGCCGCAAGGUGCUGACGAGUGGCGAACGGGUGAGUAAUGCAUCGGAACGUGCCCAGUCGUGGGGGAUAACGCAGCGACAGCUGCGCUAAUACCGCAUACGAUCUAUGGAUGAAAGCGGGGGACCGACAGGCCUCGCGCAAUUGGAGCGGCCGAGGUCAGAUUAGGUAGUUGGUGGGGUAAAGGCUCACCAAGCCAACGAUCUGUAGCUGGUCUGAGAGGACGACCAGCCACACUGGGACUGAGACACGGCCCAGACUCCGACGGGAGGCAGCAGUGGGGAAUUUUGGACAAUGAGCGCAAGCCUGAUCCAGCAAUGCCGCGUGCAGGAAGAAGGCCUUCGGGUUGUAAACUGCUUUUGUAUGGAACGAAAAGGCUCUGGUUAAUACCUGGGGCUCAUGACGGUACCGUAAGAAUAAGCACCGGCUAACUACGUGCCAGCCGCCGCGGUAAGAC